UACGUAGGGGGGCAAGCGUUGUCCGGAUUUAUUGGGCGUAAAGCGCGUGUAGGCGGCUUGGCAAGUCCGCUGUGAAAACUCGAGGCUCAACCUCGAGAUGUCGGCGGAAACUGUCUGGCUAGAGUCCGGAAGAGGAGAGUGGAAUUCCUGGUGUAGCGGUGAAAUGCGCAGAUAUCAGGAAGAACACCUAUGGCGAAGGCAGCUCUCUGGGACGGUACUGACGCUGAGACGCGAAAGCGUGGGGAGCGAACAGG
rnacentral:rRNA from 1 species